UUGAAGAGGAUCGCCGAGUAGAUGCAGAAGCAGGUUGCUGCUGCACGCGCACUGCAGGCGCCAUCUAGCCCAAGGAGGAGAAUGACUCGGAGUUUGGAUGUAUUAUGUAAACCUGAAAGAUGUAUUAUGUGAACCUGAGAGAUAUAUUAUGUGAACCUGGGAGAUGUAUUGUGUUAUGUAAACUUGGGAGAUGUAUUAUGUGAUGUUAUAUGAUGGAUGAUGUCACACCCUGUGUUUCACCAUCAGUGUUUUGAGUUGCAAAAAUCAGGGUUUGUUAAAAAAAUUCUAAUGAUGUUGUGAAUGCUAUGAAUGCCUUCUAUGAAUGUAUGCUUGUUU
rnacentral:lncRNA from 1 species